GCAGUCAUGGCCGAGUGGUUAAGGCGAUGAACUAGAAAUCCAUUGGGGUCUCCCCGCACAGGUUCGAAUCCUGUCGACUGCG
rnacentral:tRNA from 1 species